rnacentral:rRNA from 1 species
UACGGGGGGGGCAAGCGUUGUUCGGAAUUACUGGGCGUAAAGGGCUCGUAGGCGGCCAACUAAGUCAGACGUGAAAUCCCCAGGCUCAACCUGGGAACUGCGUCUGAUACUGGAUGGCUUGAAUCCGGGAGAGGGAUGCAGAAUUCCAGGUGUAGCGGUGAAAUGAGUAGAUAUCUGGAGGAAUACCGGUGGCGAAGGCGGCAUCCUGGACCGGCAUUGACGCUGAGGAGCGAAAGCCAGGGGAGCAAACGGG